UGGUCAAAAGAAGUCGGGAAAGAAUUCGGAGAAUAGUUGAUCACUGUAGAAGAUCGGCUGAUAGUGAAGCCUAGAGAGCAUUUGGAGCGGCCCGGUAGAUGGAUGGAGAAGCUCAUUGUCGAGGAAGUUCGGAUGGUCGAGGGAGUUCAGAAAGACAUCACAUAAGGUCGGAAGUCGGAAAAGUCCUGGAAGGGUCGACCUUUUGCAAACUUCGGCUGGGGGUAUUUUAUACCCAACACCAGUCCCCCUACUUUCGAGUUCGGGUUCUGAAUGAAGAAAGUACAAAAAAAUUCUCACAACUGAAGUUGCCUCCCUUG
rnacentral:lncRNA from 1 species